AGCAGAGAAGAGAACAGUUGCUCAAUGUCACCAUCUCUGUUCUUAUCCAGCUAUCAGUCUCUCUCUGUUUAGACGAAGAUACCAAAUCCCCUCGCAAACGCUCCUCCGAUGGCUUAGCCCAGCCCGAGCGCCAGCUCCUCUGCAAAGCUAGGCGCGGCGGCGGCGGCGGUCAAGAGCGACUGCACGCCCAUCAGAUUCCACCAGGUGCGGCGCCCCUCCUCUCCUCCUCUUCCUUGCCGUUCGGAGUUAAACGCGAAGCCUCUGCCGGCCUGCAGCACGUAGCGGCCACCCCUCCCUCGGUUCUCCCUGCGGCCAGCUCUUCACGCCAAUGCGUCGCCGCCGCCCCUUUCCCCGCCACGACUUCUCCUUUCCGCUUCCUCUCCACACGACGGCUUCGUCCGACACCUCCUCUCCCUGCCCUAGGGUCAAUGGCCUCUUCCCCUCCCUGCACUGCACAAGUGCUACAGCCGGCUCGUUGCAAGCGUGAAGCGUGGCUGGUGCCGGAACAGACUUUGCAACUGUUGUGGAUUGACGCAUAGAUUUUAGUAGCUUCAUGCAACUGUUGUGAACUGACGCAUAAGUUUGAUACAUAUCAUCAUGGUAAAUCUCAAUGAAGUUGCACCUGAGUUUUUUUUUUAUGUUGUACAUUGCUGGCCAGUGGCUUUAGUUUCCUCUUUGUCCCCACAAGUUCAUUACAUGUUAUGUUGCUACCUUCAUGUAUCAUCUACUACAUCUCAUCCAUGGUCUAGCCCUGGAAAACUUGCUGAUUCAUCUCUUUACGUGCAUUUCAGAAGGUGUACAUGAAUUUCUUACCAAAAACUCAUCUUUAACAGUACAUAUUUGUCUGCAAGGACUCUAGCUCGGUGCUUUUAAUUCAAUACCACUGUGACACAACUUCAUAUAUUACCUCAAGAGCUUCAUAGAGGUGCAAGCCAUAAUGAUGACAAGGUCCUUCUUCUUGCUGCUACAAAUACUCUAUAUGCUCUCGAUCAGAUAUAGAACAUCUAUCAAUUAUUCACCUGCAUGAUCUUAACGCCAGGCAACGCAUGUUCAAGGCACAUGAUCCCAUGAUUGAGCGCAUCAUCGCUCAAGGUCUCAGGGGAAGGUUGUUCUGACUGCUGACAACAACAGAACUUAUGAAGCUCAACUCGAUAUUUCUAUGGGGAAGGCCGGGACGCACAAAAAUUGGGAGGAUAUGUUGUUAGGAUGGUGUAUUAUAUGCUGGUGAAAUUAAUUAUCGCUGGAAGUAAUGGUCAUCGAUUGAUGGCGAAAGAAACUGUCCUCAAUGGUGGCGAUAACUGAAGGUUAACUUUUUUUUA